AUUGAACGCUGGCGGCAUGCUUUACACAUGCAAGUCGAGCGGCAGCGCGGGAGCAAUCCUGGCGGCGAGCGGCGAACGGGUGAGGAAUACAUCGGAACGUACCCCGGAGUGGGGAUAACGCCGCGAAAGCGGCGCUAAUACCGCAUAUGCUCUGAGGAGGAAAGUGGGGGACGUCGCAAGGGCCUCACGCUCUGGGAGCGGCCGAUGUCCGAUUAGCUAGNGGUGGGGUAAAGGCUUACCAAGGCGACGAUCGGUAGCUGGUCUGAGAGGAUGAUCAGCCACACUGGGACUGAGACACGGCCCAGACUCCUACGGGAGGCAGCAGUGGGGAAUUUUGGACAAUGGGGGCAACCCUGAUCCAGCCAUGCCGCGUGCGGGAAGAAGGCCU
rnacentral:rRNA from 1 species